rnacentral:rRNA from 1 species
GAUGAACGCUGGCGGCGUGCCUAAUACAUGCAAGUCGAGCGCACGGACGAGACGCUUGCUUCUCUGAUGUUAGCGGCGGACGGGCGAGUAACACGUGGAUAACCUACCUAUAAGACUGGGAUAACUUCGGGAAACCGGAGCUCAUACCGGAUAAUAUCUUGAUCCGCAUGGUUCAAAAGUGAAAGAUGGUAUUGCUGUCAUUUAUAGAUGGAUCCGCGCUGCAUUAGCUAGUUGGUAAGGUAACGGCUUACCAAGGCAACGAUGCAUAGCCGACCUGAGAGGGUGAUCGGCCACACUGGAACUGAGACACGGUCCAGACUCCUACGGGAGGCAGCAGUAGGGAAUCUUCCGCAAUGGGCGAAAGCCUGACGGAGCAACGCCGCGUGAGUGAUGAAGGUCUUCGGAUCUUAAGACUCUUUUAUUAGGGAAGAACAGAUGUGUAAGUAACUGUGCACAUCUUGACGGUACCUAAUCAGAAAGCCACGGCUAACUACGUG